rnacentral:rRNA from 1 species
UACGGAGGGUGCAAGCGUUAAUCGGAAUUACUGGGCGUAAAGCGUGCGCAGGCGGUUUGUUAAGUCUGUUGUGAAAUCCCCGAGCUCAACUUGGGAAUUGCAAUGGAUGCUGGUAGGCUGGAGUAUGGUAGAGGAAGGUGGAAUUCCCGGUGUAGCAGUGAAAUGCGUAGAGAUCGGGAGGAACACCAGUGGCGAAGGCGGCCUUCUGGACCAAUACUGACGCUCAGGUGCGAAAGCGUGGGGAGCAAACAGG